rnacentral:rRNA from 1 species
AUUGAACGCUGGCGGAAUGCUUUACACAUGCAAGUCGAACGGCAGCACGGGGGCAGUCCUGGUGGCGAGUGGCGAACGGGUGAGUAAUACAUCGGAACGUGCCCGGUCGUGGGGGAUAACGUAGCGAAAGUUACGCUAAUACCGCAUACGAUCUGAGGAUGAAAGCGGGGGACCCUCGGGCCUCGCGCGAUCGGAGCGGCCGAUGUCAGAUUAGGUAGUUGGUGGGGUAAAGGCCUACCAAGCCGACGAUCUGUAGCUGGUCUGAGAGGACGACCAGCCACACUGGGACUGAGACACGGCCCAGACUCCUACGGGAGGCAGCAGUGGGGAAUUUUGGACAAUGGGCGCAAGCCUGAUCCAGCCAUUCCGCGUGCAGGACGAAGGCCUUCGGGUUGUAAACUGCUUUUGUACGGAACGAAAAGGCUCUGGCUAAUACCUGGGGCUCAUGACGGUACCGUAAGAAUAAGCACCGGCUAACUACGUG